GACUUUAUUGUUACUGAUAUUAGUAAUUUAACAAUCCCUUUAGCUAUGCUCACACUAGCCAUAGUGACACAGGACUGGCAGUGUGAUGGCAGACUUAACGUCAUGCAUGUCACGUGCAAUGUUCUUGAUGGAAAAUAUGAAUAUUUCCAAGUUUAGAGCCUGAAGCACUGUUUUGUUUUACUUGCAGGAUUUUUUUACAGUAGCAUUUUUACAGAGGUAAAUUAUAAAGGAUUCAAUAAGGUGCUACGCUGAUAAGACUCCUUAGGACUUUGUACAGUGGCCUUUGGCAAGCAGCUCAAAAAAAUUAAAGUAAUUUUAUAAAUUAGUAAACCUAAUCUCUGCACUUUUGCAAAAAAUAAAAUAAAAUAAAUCCUAUUUUGUUGAGCACAGAAUCUCUAAAACCGAGCUUUCAAUGCCAUGGCACUGUGUAUUUAAUUCCUAAUCAAUUUAGGAUUAGGAAGCCAUUUUCGGUCUUUUUACCUUUUUUUUUUUUUUAAUUCUGCUUCCUUUGCUUUUAUUUGUUGUUAAAUGCUAUGCCUUAUUGAGGAUGUAAAAAGCAAAUGGAGUGUUCCAGCCUCUAAUGUGCUAGGUGGCCUCUAGCAACGCGUCUUUCAAUCACUUUUAUCUCUACACUAAAUGACCAAGUUUUUGGUAAACCUGUCAGUAGACACUGUAGGGGAGGGUGGCAGACAGUAUGAGCGGAGGGCACACUCUGUUCUCUGUGCAUCUGUCAAGACAUCUUGCUUCCUGUGUACUCGUUUCCAGCCAGGUUCUGUUUUUUACCUUGUCACAGUGAGGCUCUCUUCCUUGAGCACUUCUCUAAACUCAGAGAGAGAGAUGGCUUUGCCGCACUAACUCUCUAGCCUGUUAUGUAAGAUGCUUCAAUUUUAUUGAAUGCAUUAGAAGACCUCUUCUUUAAAAAAAAAAAAAAGGAAGAAGAAGAAAAUAAGAAGUAUGGGAAGUGGUAUACUUGAAAAUACACUUUAGUUCUAUUUGGGACUUAGCUUGAAUGUGUUAGCAGCCAGCUGAAAGCAAAACUAAAUCAGGAAGGAAGCCAGAGAAAGGGCAGAAGUGUCAGAGAGUAGCCAAGAGACCUCAGAGAAACAGAAAGGCUCUUCUCUCUCUCUGUCCUUCCCUCUCUUCCCGGCCCUCCCUCUAGCAUCCUUCCCUACCCUCUGUCAUUUUGUCUUAAGGUUUCCAUUCAAAUCAUCUUUUUCAUCUUGUACUUCUGGGAUUAGUUUUUACUGUUCUACUUUUGGUUAAUUAGCAUUUCAAAGAAAUUGAGAUAAUGGGUGGUGACAUCUGAGUCACAUUCCGAUGAAUGGCAGCUUGAUUAACCCAGUGACACAGGUUCCACCCCUACUCUAGGUUCUUGGUCUUCCUAGGAGUCUCUCAACCAGGUUCUGAAUCUCCUUGCCACCCGCCUUCUGCUUCCUAACUCUCCCUCCUGUCUCUGUUUUUGGAUGUUGGCUUUUCCUUUGCAUGUGUGUAUGAAAUAGCUUUCUGUCUUAGCAUACUUCUAAGCCUUACUUACAGAGGUCAUGGAUUCUGAUUAGAUGCUUAAAAUAUUAGUUGCAGUUAUUUAAUAAAGAUCUAUUAACCUUUUUUUUCUCUUAACAAGACAGCUGUAAAUAUAAAUUCAUAUUUCAAAAGAGAGGUAAAAAGGGUUUUCUUUUGCGGCUGUUCUGUGUGUGUGUGUGUGUGUGUGUGUGUGUGUGUGUGUGUUGGUUAAGAAAGGUAAUCCAGUUCCACCCUUCUGAUUCUAAUUUAGAGCAUUUUAGCAGAUGAAGAAUCUAAGAUUACUUUAAUAUUAUUAAGCAAUAAAUUGUACUUAUACAUAGUAUCAUGGAAUAUUGCUGGGUGCCACCAAGUUUCAUGAGCUGACUUAACUUUACAAACAUAGCAAACACUGUAAGAACCAGGAAAGGGAAAAUCCAUCUAGACGUUCCCUCUAAAGUCCUGGAUGACCCUCUCCUGUAAUCCUUUCAACUUACUCAUAACCUUGUUCCCUUUCUCUCUAUCUUGCUGCUCAAACCCAUAUCAUGGCUAGUAUCUUUCACUGUGUUGCUAAACCUUGAAAGAGACAAUAUUUUCUUUCUUUCUACCUCUGUGAUCUAGACUUUCCUGUCUGUUAAAUCUUCCAUGUGAUUUUGUUUUUGGCCCUUUCCCACUGCAGCCCUUUACCAGCUCACUGCCACCACCCUCAGCAUCUUUGCCACUCACCCCCUGCUCAGGAGGCUCCAUGUAUCCCCUCUGGCAAACCUACACUGGAUCAGCUUUCUUUUCUGUAUAAGAAAGCACCCAUCCUGUACCCUGAUAUGAUUGGGGGAGGGGGUUAUUAAACAAUUCUGCUUUCAUGCUCUCAUCUCCUCUGCCUCACAUAGUCUCCUGCCUGGUGGAAAGUAGAACCCAGUGGACUUAGGUUCUUUUUUAACAUUUGAGUUCUAGUUAAAAUUGGUUUUCAUUAUUGGGUAAAAUAUGGUGAAUAAAGAAAUCAAAACAAAACAAAACAAAAACAUUGCUGAAAAGGAAGAGUAUCAAACAUCUUCUGGGUAUCUUUAUUUUAUCUAACUUGUGUGAUAAAUUGGAAAGAAGAAAUCAACAAAUUCAAAGGAUUUAUAGAUAUUCUCUAGAAAAUUUGAAAACAUAAAAUUUUAAUAGGAAAUAAUUGAGAAGUCUACUAUGAUUCUAAAAUGAGAUUAGAAAGGGGCAUUGGGGCGGAAUAUAAUUGGCAUAUGUUGAUAUGACCACAACAAGAUGUGUGCUGUAGGUAGAACAUACUUAUUCACCCAAUCAUGAGCUAUUCACAUAUCAGAGCUAUUCACAUAUCAGAGCUAUUCACAUAUGAGAUAUGACCUUUAUUCUACUUUGUUCCUAUCAAUACACUGAGAGCUACAGUGGUAAAUAAAACCAAAGAAGUAUGUUCCUAAAAGGCAUUAAUUGAAUAUUCACAGAAUAAAUUAAUAAUAAACUAUACAAUACAUGUUUUACAGGU
rnacentral:lncRNA from 1 species